GGCUCGUCCCGUCCGCCCGCCGCGGCGGUGUGGGGAGAGGGAGGCGGCCCCCGCGCCUCAGCCGCGGGCGGCACCGGGCGGCAGAGAGGAUGCCCGUGAGGAGCCCCCCGCAGCCCUGCCCGCUGCCUCUUGAGGAAAGCAGGGCUUGAAAUCCUCCCUCCUCUUCCUCCCGGGGGACUUCCGCUGCAUGGAGGAAGACGCUUUUUACUAGAGAUUUAACUUGCUUAAAGAUAUCAAGGUAGGAGAUUUUUUUCCCCCUACAUUUUCUUUACUGUAUCUGUUUAAAUAGG
rnacentral:lncRNA from 1 species